UAUCACAACUUAGAAAUGCCUGGCAAACUGUUGAUAAGGUGUUCUUAUUUGAUGGUGCAGGUGCGCACUUUAGAGAUAUGUGGGACUUCGGUGGAUGAGAUUAGGAGUUUUGAGUACAACUGCAUUGGGGAAGUAAGAGUUUUAGGGGCUCUGCAACAUCCCUGCAUAGUUGAAUUGUAUGGACAUCAGAUAUCUUCAAAGUGGGUUCAUUCGGAAGAUGGUAAACCAGAGCGCCAGAUGUUACUGUCUGUGAUUCUUAUGGAGUAUGUUAAAGGGGG
rnacentral:misc_RNA from 1 species